CGAGCAGAUCAGAUGAUCGCCGGUCCGGUAUUCCGGACCGGAGGAAAGUCCGAACUCCACAGGGCGGGAUGGUCGCUAACGGCGACUGGGGGCGACCCUAAGGAAAGUGCCACAGAAAAUAUACCGCCUCUCCCGAUCAGGGAGAGGUAAGGGUGAAAAGGCGAGGUAAGAGCUCACCAGUUUCCCGGGCGACCGGGAAAGCUUGGUAAACCCCAUCCGGAGCAAGACCGAAUAGGAGAACGGGGCGGCCCGCCUCAAAGUUCUCGGGUUGUGUCGCUUGAGGCGGCCGGCAACGGCCGUCCCAGAGGAAUGAUCAUCGCCGCCCUCCGGGUGACCGGAAGGCGGAACAGAAUUCGGCUUACGAUCUGCUCGGACA
rfam:Syntrophobacterales bacterium GWC2_56_13 gwc2_scaffold_827, whole genome shotgun sequence.